CAGUGUCGGUCUUUUGCACACAUCAAAGUGGACGAAUAUUUGGGAAAAGGCAAACUUUGCUUCAUCCACACAUUCGGCUUUGUGGUUGGGAGAUAAGAACUGUUCACGGUUUCCAAUUUUGUCAUCAGAGCCUCAUUGACUAUUGGGUAUGGAGUGGCCUAAUGAGUUGGUGUUGGAUUUCUUACAAUACUAUGAGAAUGAACCAGUUAUUUGGAACCCUUCUCA